CCGAAGAGGCGUUCCCGAACUCCCCACCCGCGCCGUGCCACCCACUGAACGCGCCGCCGCCGCCGGCGGCAACCUCGCGAGCCUGCAACCCCGGUCGUCGCCGCCCCCUGCAACCACGAGCGCCGCUGCCCCCUGCAACCCCGGGCGCCGCCGCCCCCUGCAACCCCGAGCCCCGUCGUCCCCGGCAACCUUGCGAGCCGACGCCGCCUACAAGCCCGGGCGUCGACGCGCCCCCGGCAACCUCGCGAGCCGCCGCCACCUGCAACCCCAGGCACCGCCGCCCCCGUCCCGGUACCUUUCUCCGACACACCUCCCGCCGCCACCCCCAGCCCCGGCACCUCCUCUCCGGCAUGCCUCUAGCCGCCUCCUCUUCUUCUUCUCGGAUGCGCCAACAUCCCUGCGAACACACACCGCUUCCCAAUUCCUCCUGACGACCGAGGCUCAGCCAACUACCCUCCAGGGACCGCCUGUGCUGGCGCCGCCAGAUCCCCACUGCAGCAUCGCCCCACCACGGAGCAAAUCCCAUCCAGGUCUCCCCAUGCUCCUGCAGGUCGACUGCCACGCUACACGAAGUUCACCAGCUAGAGCUGCGGCCGAAUCCGUCGCUGGUGUGUCGCCUUCGGUGUUGCCCCUUCCCUCCCACCGCUCUACCGAUGCCGCUCCUAUCUAGCACAGCCAUGGCCCUCCACUCAAGCAUAAGCACGAGCAACUGAAAGCAGCAGGUGCAUAUCUGAUUUCCACAAGGAGAGGUCGCCACACCCUUUGCUGAAUUUCCCACUCUCUCUCGUCGCUACAGGUAGCAGCAGGAACCUUAGUAACUAAUGGACAAAUUCACACAUAUUUCAAAUCAGUGGUAUGUUGGAAGAUAAUAUGGGCCAUUUUCAGUUCAAGGAUAUGUUCAACAGUCAUAGCAUUCUCUGAAUCACAGUAUGUAGUAUAAAAAAUGCUCAUGUACUUCUCAGCGUGUCAAUCACCAUUAAUUACCAUAUGCCUUCGAUCCUUGGAUUAAUGACAAGCCUCCAUGCCGAUUCAAAAUAGACUGAUGGUAUACUUCCAAUGUACUAGCAGCAACAAUUUCAAUUUUAUUAGGAGUACAAGAUAAAGAGAGCCGCCAUAUGUGUGUGUAUGUUCGGCAAAUGAUUGACAACAACACAUUGUUGAGGAGCCCUGAUGACCGAAAAUGUUGGGCAGCUGCUUCAGUUAGAUGUUUUUCUCUGUUUUUAGAACAACUUCUGUUUGAUAUGUGUGCGCUCAUCUGUUUCAUUUGUAA